rnacentral:rRNA from 1 species
CAGUAGCCGCGGGAAUACGAGGGGGGCAAGCGUUGUUCGGAAUUAUUGGGCGUAAAGGGUGCGUAGGCGGUUUGGCAAGUCUUGUGUGAAAUCUUCGGGCUCAACCCGAAGCCUGCACGAGAAACUGCCGGGCUUGAGUAUUGGAGAGGUGAGUGGAAUUUCCGGUGUAGCGGUGAAAUGCGUAGAUAUCGGAAGGAACACCUGUGGCGAAAGCGGCUCACUGGACAAUAACUGACGCUGAUGCACGAAAGCUAGGGGAGCAAACAGGAUUAGAUACCCCAGUAGUCCCUGUCUCUUAUAA